rnacentral:lncRNA from 1 species
UUGUUUCUCUCUCAUAAUAAUGUUAUUAAAUAAAUAAAAAAUAAAAAAAUUAACCAUAGUUAAACCCAUGGAUAUGUGUCAACUUUUGGGAGGGGUGGUGAGGGUACACCUAAGGUUAAGGUGGUGAGCAAAAAUGCACCCUUUCUCUAAUAUUUUCUUUUGGACCUUCUCCAUUUUCCUCAUGACAUGUAUCACUUUCCUUACACUUAAAACAAUGUCAUCAAUGCA